UACGUAGGGUGCGAGCGUUAAUCGGAAUUACUGGGCGUAAAGUGUGCGCAGGCGGUCUGUUAAGUCUGAUGUGAAAGCCCGGGGCUCACCCCCGGAAGUGCAUUGGAUACUGGCGGACUCGAGUCUCGGAGAGGAGGGUGGAAUUCCUGGUGUAGCGGUGAAAUGCGUAGAUAUCAGGAGGAACACCGGUGGCGAAGGCGGCCCUCUGGACGAUGACUGACGCUGAGACGCGAAAGCGUGGGGAGCAAACAGG
rnacentral:rRNA from 1 species